ensembl:lncRNA
GGAUGGGCAAGGUGAGAAGUGCUGCGAGGAGGGCAGAGGAACCGGAAGGAGCCCCAGGCCUUGGCUCUGGCUCUGUCAGGAAGCUGGGAGGUGUCACAGCGCGUUCCUCGCAGCUUUGGCUGGUGCUGACAGCAGGGGUUGGAGGUUCACUGGCGAUGCCUGGCAGCCCUUACCUGAACUCUCCAAAGUACUGGGUGACACAUUCACCCUCCGAGGCGCAGGGGAGAUGGAAGCUGCGGUCGCAGCCCGCCUCUGCGCAGGUGAUGGUGGCCCCGAAAUUGCCACAGACGAAGCAGAGCUGGAAAGAGCAGAGCAGCCCGCAUCAGCAGCAGGCUCAGGGCCUACGCAGCGGGCCCCGCACCUCUGGGCAGGGCACAGGGUGAGGGCAGGGCUGGGUGGCACUCUGCAGAGCUGCCUGGUGAACAGGACUCGUCUACAGGAGCAGGACUUUCUCCUGGGGCUGGUUGGAA